UACGUAGGGGGCAAGCGUUGUCCGGAUUUAUUGGGCGUAAAGAGCGUGUAGGCGGUCUGGUAGGUCCGUUGUGAAAACUCGAGGCUCAACCUCGAGACGCCGAUGGAAACCCUCAGACUAGAGUCCGGAAGAGGAGAGUGGAAUUCCUGGUGUAGCGGUGAAAUGCGCAGAUAUCAGGAAGAACACCCGUGGCUAAGGCGGCUCUCUAGUACGGUACUGAGGCUGAGACGCGAAAGCGUGGGGAGCGAACAGG
rnacentral:rRNA from 1 species